rnacentral:rRNA from 1 species
UACAGAGGGUGCGAGCGUUAAUCGGAAUUACUGGGCGUAAAGCGUGCGUAGACGGUAGCGUAAGUUAGAUGUGAAAGCCCCGGGCUCAACCUGGGAACUGCAUUUGAGACUGCUCUGCUCGGGUGCGGAAGAGGGAAGCGGAAUUUCCGGUGUAGCGGUGAAAUGCGUAGAUAUCGGAAGGAACACCAGUGGCGAAAGCGGCUUCCUGGUCCGACACCGACGUUCAGGCACGAAAGCGUGGGGAGCAAACAGG